CAAGACAAUCAGCUCUCCUCUAGAGCCUCCAGAAGGGAAUGCGGCCCUGUUGAAGCCCUGAUUUUUGGCUCUGGGAUUCUCACUUUAAACUUCUGGCCUCCAAAACUGUUAUCAAAGAUAGAAUCUAAAAAUAGCCAAAGUGAUUGGUUGGUGAAUCCUUCAUUUCUUCAACAAAGCCCAAUCUGAUUUGGAUUUUUUAGGACGUCAUUUUUAUUUUAAAAUAAAACAAACAGAUGAUCACAUUUAUAGAUUUAUAGUAAACAUCUUAGUGUUUGCUGCAAAGUAUUUAUGCUAAUUCAGCUUCUCAAUUUGAAACACGUCUCAGCCGUCUAUCACAACUCCUGUGUUUCAUUAUCAUACACAUGCAGGACUCUUUAAAUAUGGACUUAAAUGAUGAUGACAGAACAAUCUUCUGAAAAUUACUGAACCUACUCUUUAAUGAAAAUUCUAGAGAAUGUGCUAUGACAGUAUAACAAAUGACAUAAAAUAUAAUAUUCAUUGUAUUCUGAAUGUUAUGUGGAGGAGCCUGGCAUCAGUCUCUAUAAUUCUUUCCCUCAAAGGAAGUGGUGUUACUAUUUCUCGACUAUUGAGCAUCAAGCCAUUUGGAAUGAAAAGCUCUGGAUUGAAAUCAUGAAUAGAACCAUUAUUAUAGCUGUGUGACCUCAGGUAAAUCAUAGUACUCACUGUUUUUUGCUAAAUCUGUGGUUAGAAAUAAUCUGCCUUGUAUAAAAAUCAAAAGAAAGAACACACGAUG